rnacentral:rRNA from 1 species
UGAGGAAUUUUGCGCAAUGGGCGAAAGCCUGACGCAGCGACGCCGCGUGGAGGAAGACGGCCUUCGGGUUGUAAACUCCUGUCAGAGGUGAAGCACGCCCGCAAGGGCUUGACGGUAACCUCAGAGGAAGCCCCGGCUAACUACGUGCCAGCAGCCGCGGUAAUACGUAGGGGGCGAGCGUUGCUCGGAAUUACUGGGCGUAAAGGGAGUGCAGGCGGCCGGUUAAGUCGAAGAUGAAAUCCCGAGGCUCAACUUCGGAACGGUCUUCGAGACUGAUCGGCUUGAGGCUAAUUGAGGAGAGCGGAAUUCCCGGUGUAGCGGUGAUAUGCGUAGAUAUCGGGAGGAAAACCAGAGGCGAAGGCGACUCUCUAAACUAAUCCUGACGCUGAGACUCGAAAGCUAGGUGAGCAAACGG